rnacentral:rRNA from 1 species
UACGUAGGGUGCGAGCGUUGUCCGGAAUUAUUGGGCUUAAAGAGCUCGUAGGCGGCUUGUCACGUCGGUUGUGAAAGCCCGGGGCUUAACCCCGGGUCUGCAGUCGAUACGGGCAGGCUAGAGUUCGGUAGGGGAGAUCGGAAUUCCUGGUGUAGCGGUGAAAUGCGCAGAUAUCAGGAGGAACACCGGUGGCGAAGGCGGAUCUCUGGGCCGAUACUGACGCUGAGGAGCGAAAGCGUGGGGAGCGAACAGG